CUAUGAUAUUUAAUGUAUCAUGGCGGAAGGAG
rnacentral:ncRNA from 1 species